CCUACGGGAGGCAGCAGUGAGGAAUAUUGGACAAUGGGCGAGAGCCUGAUCCAGCCAUGCCGCGUGCAGGAAGACUGCCCUAUGGGUUUGUAAACUGCUUUUAUAUGGGAAGAAACCCACCUACGUGUGGGAGGCUGACGGUACCAUAAGAAUAAGGAUCGGCUAACUCCGUGCCAGCAGCCGCGGUAAUACGGAGGAUCCAAGCGUUAUCCGGAAUCAUUGGGUUUAAAGGGUCCGUAGGUGGAUAAUUAAGUCAGAGGUGAAAUCCUGCAGCUCAACUGUAGAAUUGCCUUUGAUACUGGUUAUCUUGAAUUAUUGUGAAGUGGUUAGAAUAUGUAGUGUAGCGGUGAAAUGCAUAGAUAUUACAUAGAAUACCAAUUGCGAAGGCAGAUCACUAACAAUAUAUUGACACUGAUGGACGAAAGCGUGGGGAGCGAACAGGAUUAGAUACCCUGGUAG
rnacentral:rRNA from 1 species